rnacentral:rRNA from 1 species
UACAGAGGGUGCUAGCGUUGUUCGGAAUUAUUGGGCGUAAAGGGCGCGUAGGCGGUUUCGCAUGUCCGAUGUGAAAGCCCACCUCUUAAAGGUGGAAUUGCAUCGGAAACUGCGAGACUAGAGUGCCGGAGAGGGUGGUGGAAUUCCUGGUGUAGAGGUGAAAUUCGUAGAUAUCAGGAGGAACACCGGUGGCGAAGGCGGCCACCUGGACGGUUACUGACGCUGAGGCGCGAAAGCGUGGGUAGCAAACAGG